GAUGAACGCUGGCGGCGUGCCUAAUACAUGCAAGUCGAGCGAACGGACGAGAAGCUUGCUUCUCUGAUGUUAGCGGCGGACGGGUGAGUAACACGUGGAUAACCUACCUAUAAGACUGGGAUAACUUCGGGAAACCGGAGCUAAUACCGGAUGAUAUUUUGAACCGCAUGGUUCAAAAGUGAAAGACGGUCUUGCUGUCACUUAUAGAUGGAUCCGCGCUGCAUUAGCUAGUUGGUAAGGUAACGGCUUACCAAGGCAACGAUGCAUAGCCGACCUGAGAGGGUGAUCGGACACACUGGAACUGAGACACGGUCCAGACUCCUACGGGAGGCAGCAGUAGGGAAUCUUCCGCAAAGGGCGAAAGCCUGACGGAGCAACGCCGCGUGAGUGAUGAAGGUCUUCGGAUCGUAAAACUCUGUUAUUAGGGAAGAACAUAUGUGUAAGUAACUGUGCACAUCUUGACGGUACCUAAUCAGAAAGCCACGGCUAACUACGUG
rnacentral:rRNA from 1 species